CCUACGGGGGGCUGCAGUGAGGAAUAUUGGUCAAUGGACGAGAGUCUGAACCAGCCAAGUAGCGUGAAGGAUGACUGCCCUAUGGGUUGUAAACUUCUUUUAUAAAGGAAUAAAACGAGGCACGUGUGCCUUUUUGCAUGUACUUUAUGAAUAAGGAUCGGCUAACUCCGUGCCAGCAGCCGCGGUAAUACGGGGGAUCCGAGCGUUAUCCGGAUUGAUUGGGUUUAAAGGGAGCGUAGAUGGGUUGUUAAGUCAGUUGUGAAAGUUUGCGGCUCAACCGUAAAAUUGCAAUUGAUACUGGCAGUCUUGAGUACAGUUGAGGUAGGCGGAAUUCGUGGUGUAGCGGUGAAAUGCUUAGAUAUCACGAAGAACCCCGAUUGCGAAGGCAGCUUACUAAACUGUGACUGACAUUGAUGCUCGAAAGUGUGGGUAUCAAACAGGAUUAGAUACCCGUGUAGUC
rnacentral:rRNA from 1 species